UGGGGAAUAUUGCACAAUGGGCGCAAGCCUGAUGCAGCCAUGCCGCGUGUGUGAAGAAGGCCUUCGGGUUGUAAAGCACUUUCAGCGAGGAGGAAGGUGGUGGACUUAAUACGUUCAUCAAUUGACGUUACUCGCAGAAGAAGCACCGGCUAACUCCGUGCCAGCAGCCGCGGUAAUACGGAGGGUGCAAGCGUUAAUCGGAAUUACUGGGCGUAAAGCGCACGCAGGCGGUUUGUUAAGUCAGAUGUGAAAUCCCCGGGCUCAACCUGGGAACUGCAUUUGAAACUGGCAAGCUAGAGUCUCGUAGAGGGGGGUAGAAUUCCAGGUGUAGCGGUGAAAUGCGUAGAGAUCUGGAGGAAUACCGGUGGCGAAGGCGGCCCCCCUGGACGAAGACUGACGCUCAGGUGCGAAAGCGUGGGGAGCAAAACAGGAUUAGAUACCCUGGUAGUCCACGCUGUAAACGAUGUCGAUUUGGAGGUUGUGCCCUUGAGGCGUGGCUUCCGGAGCUAACGCGUUAAAUCGACCGCCUGGGGAGUACGGCCGCAAGGUUAAAAACUC
rnacentral:rRNA from 1 species